UUAAGGGCGUAGGGUGAGGUCAGAUUUGUAGAAACGCGCGGAAGAACCGAAGGAAGCGUUUGCCUGGAUUUAUUUGGAAUUUGGAGAACAGCUUCCGGCCAAACUGGCAAGCGGGCGAGAAUGGCUCCGAGCCACCGUUUGGUCAGCGCUCGAAUGUCAAGAAGAUCUUGCCACCAUAAGGAAUCACUGUGGAAAACAGAGUUGAUUUAAGACAUUCAAACUAAGAUGCUCAGAGGUCUAAGAUUUCACACCAGUACCUCAAGGAUCACUGCAGAAAGUGAGGAAAAAGGCAUCCAAG